rnacentral:rRNA from 1 species
CUUAAAGGAAUUGACGGGACCGCACAAGCGGUGGAUGAUGUGGUUAAUUCGAUGCAACGCGAAAACCUUACCCACCUUUGACAUGUACGGAAUCCUUUAGAGAUAGAGGAGUGCUCGAAAGAGAGCCGUAACACAGGUGCUGCAUGGCUGUCGUCAGCUCGUGUCGUGAGAUGUUGGGUUAAGUCCCGCAACGAGCGCAACCCUUGUCAUUAGUUGCUACAUUCAGUUGGGCACUCUAAUGAGACUGCCGGUGACAAACCGGAGGAAGGUGGGGAUGACGUCAAGUCCUCAUGGCCCUUAUAGGUGGGGCUACACACGUCAUACAAUGGAUGGUACAAAGGGUCGCCAACCCGCGAGGGGGAGCCAAUCCCAUAAAGCCAUUCGUAGUCCGGAUCGCAGUCUGCAACUCGACUGCGUGAAGUCGGAAUCGCUAGUAAUCGUGGAUCAGAAUGUCACGGUGAAUACGUUCCCGGGUCUU